UGACGCCGCGUGCGGGAUGACGCCUUUCGGGUGUAAACCGCUUUUCCCAGGGACGAGGAUGGACGGUACCUGGGAAUAAGUCUCGGCUAACUACGUGC
rnacentral:rRNA from 1 species